rnacentral:rRNA from 1 species
UUUGAUCCUGGCUCAGAUUGAAUGCUGACGGCGUGGAUGAGGCAUGCAAGUCGAACGAAGUAGCUUGCUACUUAGUGGCGAAAGGGUUAGUAAUACAUGAGUAACGUACCUCUUUCCUGGGGAUAACGGUUGGAAACGACCGCUAAUACCGAAUGAGGAGGUCUGGGAUAGCCCAGAUUCUUCAAAGUAGGGGACCCUUCGGGGCCUUACGGAGAGAGAGCGGCUCAUGCGAUAUCAGCUUGUUGGUGUGGUAAUGGCGCACCAAGGCUAAGACGUCUAGGCGGACUGAGAGGUUGACCGCCAACACUGGGACUGAGACACUGCCCAGACUCCUACGGGAGGCUGCAGUCGAGAAUCAUUCGCAAUGGGCGAAAGCCUGACGAUGCGACGCCGUGUGGACGAUGAAGGCCUUAGGGUUGUAAAGUCCUUUCGCCAGGGAACAAGAGAGAGUAACUAAUAUUUACUUAAUUUGAGUGUACCUGGUAAAGAAGCACCGGCUAACUCCGUGCCAGCAGCCGCGGUAAUA